rnacentral:rRNA from 1 species
AGAGUUUGAUCCUGGCUCAGGACGAACGCUGGCGGCGUGGAUUAGGCAUGCAAGUCGCGCGACGCAUUCCCUUCGGGGUUUGACGGAGCGGCGAACGGGUGAGUAACACGUGAACAAUCUGUCCCUACAUUCCGGAUAAUUGGCCGAAAGGCCUUGUAAUACGGGGGAGGACGUUUUUGAGGCAUCUCAAGGACGGGGAACGCGCAAGCGGCGCGAGGAGGGGUUCGCGGCCUAUCAGUUAGUUGGUGGGGUAACGGCCUACCAAGACGACGACGGGUAGCUGGUCUGAGAGGAUGGUCAGCCACAUUGGAACUGAGAUACUGUCCAGACUCCUACGGGAGGCUGCAGUCGAGAAUCUUGGGCAAUGCACGAAAGUGUGACCCAGCGACGCCGCGUGAUGGAUGAAGGCCCUCUGGGUCGUAAACAUCUUUUAUGGGGGAAGAAAAGCUCGCAAGAGCCUUGACGGUACCCCAUGAAUAAGCCACGGCUAACUACGUGCCAGCAGCCGCGGUAAUACGUAGGUGGCAAGCGUUGUCCGGAUUUACUGGGCGUAAAGGGUAUGCAGGCGGAUGCUUAAGUAGAGAGUGAAAGGCGGGAGCUCAACUCCUGGACUGCUCCCUAUACUGGGCGUCUUGAGUGGCGGAGAGGAAGAUGGAACUCCAUGUGUAGCGGUGAAAUGCGUAGAUAUAUGGGAGGAACACCAAUGGCGAAAGCAAUCUUCUGGACGCAAACUGACGCUGAGAUACGAAAGCUAUGGUAGCGAACAGGAUUAGAUACCCCAGUAGUCC